GAAAAUAACUAUGAUUCCCUUAGUAACGGCGAGUGAACAGGGAAAAGCCCAAAUUUGUAAUCUGGCACUUUUUACAAGUGUCCGAGUUGUAAUUUGUAGAACUGUUAUCCGUGCUGGACCAUGUACAAGUCUGUUGAAAAGCAGCAUCAUUGAAGGUGAAAAUCCUGUAAAUGAUAUGGACUACCAGUGCAUUUGUGAUACGGUUUCUAAGAGUCGAGUUGUUUGGGAAUGCAGCUCAAAGUGGGUGGUAAAUUCCAUCUAAGGCUAAAUAUAAGUGAGAGACCGAUAGCAAACAAGUACCGUGAGGGAAAGAUGAAAAGAACUUUGAAAAUAGAGUUAACAGUACGUGAAAUUGCUGAAAGGGAAACGUUUGAAGUUAGUUUUGUAUUCGUUGGAUCAGCUUCGCAAGGAGUGUAUUCUGAUGAUAAGCAAGUCAACAUCAGUCUAUGAGUGUCGGAGAAGGGUUUUGAGAAUGUAGCAAUUUAAUUGUGUUAUAGCUUGAGACUUGGAUACGAUGCUUUGGAUUGAGGAACGCGUAGUAAGCUUUGAGCGGAUUCGAAAGGAUCUCCUUACUAUGGAUGUUGGUGAAAUAACUUUAAGCGAC
rnacentral:rRNA from 1 species